rnacentral:lncRNA from 1 species
GAAAAACAUUGUCAUCAUAAUUCUACAUUGCAGUUUCCUCUAAUAUCUUACAAAAUUCCAAAAUUUACACAAGUACUCUGUCAAAGGUUCUGUCUAAUGAAUAUAUUUAAAUUCAAGUAGUAUGUUGAAACAAUUGGGGGGGAAUUAUUCUAGUCAUAGUUGUGUAAAACUCUCAUAGUGCUUGAGCUAAGAAAUAUAAGAAAUAUAGCAUUUUUUAAAGCAUUGAUAUGCCUUGCAGAAAAUGAUUUAAAACCAUGUGUUCGAUGCUAGCUGCUCAUCCACAGCACCUGCUCUCCGAGACUCGUGAAGUCUACACUAAGCAAGAUAAAACAAACAAUAUAAACAAUAGCUGCGAGCAGUGGAAAGAUGAAACAGAGCUGAAAAGGGAAACAGCAAGAAAAGCAAUAAAGGGCUGAGUGAAGGAAAGAAGAUCUUACUGUAAUGGAAAGAAAACAGCAUCCUGCUCGAUUCCUCUUUGACCUUUGCUGCUACUUAAUUUUGAAUUUUGUGUAAUGAUACUGAAGAAGCGAUGAGAGGUAACUGGUGAGGUAAUGACCUCAAACGCCCCUCGGGUCGCCCUCAGGUCUCUCCUACCCAUAUCCACUGACCUCUCUUCUGACUGUCCCAUGCCUCUCUUCCCUCACAUGACCCCAAGUCUCCUUUCUUCCGUGCAGUUGCUUCCUCUAAUGCCGUUCUUUAUUCUGUCUAAAUCUAUAAAAGAGCAUUAUUAUGUGUUCAGCUAAGAAGAAAACAGCUAAGAAAGAAAAUGGAGAGACAUUUAGCUUAGCUUUAAAAUAUAUAUGUAUAUACACACAUACAUCAUCGAAUGAACUUUCCACCUUUCCACAAUAAAGCAUUAAUAAGAAGGAAGCCAGAUCCUCACAGUAUCAAUGAUCAUUAAUGAUGUAUUCAUUACCAAUAAGUGUUAGUGUCACAUCGAUGAUGUGUCUAUAUAUAUACCUAAUUACAAUAUUAAAUAGCCAGCAUGUAUGAUUAAUUUAUUUUCCUAAGCAAGUAUACGAUAUUAUUAAGAAGCUAUUUCUUGAAAGAGUCUUUUGCUAUGUUGAUAUAUAGGCUUUGGCCAUAUGAGAAUUCCAGCAUACUUUUUAGACUGAUUCUUAGAAAACAUGAAAAAUAUUACUGUUCAUAAGAUUACUGAGAAAAUUUGGUUACCCUCAGGAGAUAGAAAAAAGCAAAGGAUCUCUAGACUUGCAUUUCUUCAUUCAGCCAAGCUUUUGUUUUUAAAUAUAAUCUGAGAUAUAUAAUGUAUGAAAGGUAGCUCUCUGAAGCUUCAGGGAGAGAGAGCACAAUUUCUGAUGGCAAUUGUUAUAGGCUUGGCCUCCAUUACCAACCAUCCCAUUGGCCAACAGAAGAAAGUAAAAACCUGAGCAUUCCGAGUGAUCUAAAACGGGCAACAUUACUGUGCAUCAAGAUCUCUGAUGUGUAUAAUAAUGCUCCCUCACUCUGGGCCCAAAACAAGGCCCCAAACCAGAGAAAUAUCACAUAGAAGGCCAUCCCCGAUCUAAGUUAGAAACUCUGGCUCUCUCAAAUACAGUCUGUGAUAUUCCAGCAAUGCUAUCAGAUAAUAUCCCCUAGAUAACUAGGGGAUAUUAGACAAAUCACUCUGCCAUCUGGGUCAUUUUUUUAUGCAGCCAUGAAGUGAACAGCCCUAAUAUUUCUGUACUCUAAAUAAAUAAGUAUUGCUCAAUGGAAUUUAGGAAAAUCAAUAAAAACCUUUUUUUUUUUUUUACAUAAUCUAGUAUUUAGAAUCAACUCAAUCAGUAUCUGAGUAUCUACUUUUUAGAAUAAUGUUGGCUUUUGUUUCUGCCAUUGUUCCUAGUCUGAUUUUAUAGUUGUAUAUUUACCUGACACAAAGUGAAAAAGAGACAGGUCAAUAUAUGGAACAUACUAUUUUACUAUUUAUUAUAUAACUCUGAAAAAUUUUGCGUGAGGGAAAAGUUAAAACAAAAUAUCCUAAACUGAGGUUUGUGGAGUUGGUAUUUUACUUAUCCAUAUGUUUAACUUGUAUAUCUGAGGACUUUUAGAAGAUUAAUUAUACAAAUGCAUUUUCAAAGUGAUCAAAACACAUAUUGGGCACAAUCUAAUUAAUAACUUUAACUUCUUCACAAAAGAAAAGGGGUAGACUUUUGUGUAUUAUGAUAAAGAAAAAGAAAAGAAGAAAGAAAAAAGAAAGAAAGGGAGGGAGGAAGGAAGGAAUGAAAGAAAGGAAGGAAGGAAGGAAAAGAGAGAAAGAGAAAGAAA